AAUAAAUCCUAACCAAAUCUUAGAUCAAAUUCUAAUAGAAUCCUAAUUAAAUCCUAAUCAAAUCUUAAUAAUGUUCUAAAUUAAUUAUAGUAAAAUUCUAGAUAAAAUCUUAAUCAAAUCCUAAUUAAAUCCUAACCAAAUUCUACACCAAAUCCUAAUCAAAUCCUAAAUCUUAACCAAAUUUUUAACAAAUCUUAAAACAAAUUGAAAUUUCAAAAACUAAUGAUAUCAACUCAAAUUUUUUUAUAUUUUAUAAAAACUUAGUUGAAAAAAAAUAUAAAAAAAUGAGAGCAAUCAAACUUACUAAUUGAAAAAAAUGUAAGAUAAUCCAUUUGAAUGUUGGACGACCUCUUUCUCCAAUCUUGAUACUUAGCUCUCAAUGCAAAUAUCUCCUUUUUAAACUAUUGAAUUACUCUAAAAAUUCAGAUAAAUGUUAAAAAUCAAGUCUACUAUCUAUAUAAAUAAUUUUUAUUUCAAUCCAAUAGGCAGAAUAUUGAAGAUCUUAAAAACUCUCAUUUAUCCUCAAAUUUCAAUUUCUAAGAUCUUAAUCCAUUUGAACUUCAAUAAUAUUUAAUAUAAUUGUUUGAUU
rnacentral:lncRNA from 1 species